GAUGAAGAACGUAGCGAAAUGCGAUAAGUAAUGUGAAUUGCAGAAUUCAGUGAAUCAUCGAAUCUUUGAACGCACAUUGCGCCCGCCAGUAUUCUGGCGGGCAUGCCUGUUCGAGCGUCAUUUCAACCAUCAAGCCCCCGGCUUGUGUUGGGGACCUGCGGCUGCCGCAGGCCCUGAAAAGCAGUGGCGGGCUCGCUGUCACACCGAGCGUAGUAGCAUACAUCUCGCUCUGGGCGUGCUGCGGGUUCCGGCCGUUAAACCACCUUCAUAACCCAAAGUUGACCUCGGAUCAGGUAGGAAGACCCGCUGAACUUAAGCAUAUCAAUAAGCGGAGGA
rnacentral:misc_RNA from 1 species